rnacentral:rRNA from 1 species
GGAAGCGUCUGGAAAGGCGCGCGAUACAGGGUGACAGCCCCGUACACAAAAAUGCACAUGCUGUGAGCUCGAUGAGUAGGGCGGGACACGUGGUAUCCUGUCUGAAUAUGGGGGGACCAUCCUCCAAGGCUAAAUACUCCUGACUGACCGAUAGUGAACCAGUACCGUGAGGGAAAGGCGAAAAGAACCCCGGCGAGGGGAGUGAAAAAGAACCUGAAACCGUGUACGUACAAGCAGUGGGAGCCUCUUUUAUGGGGUGACUGCGUACCUUUUGUAUAAUGGGUCAGCGACUUAUAUUCUGUAGCAAGGUUAACCGAAUAGGGGAGCCGAAGGGAAACCGAGUCUUAACUGGGCGUUAAGUUGCAGGGUAUAGACCCGAAACCCGGUGAUCUAGCCAUGGGCAGGUUGAAGGUUGGGUAACACUAACUGGAGGACCGAACCGACUAAUGUUGAAAAAUUAGCGGAUGACUUGUGGCUGGGGGUGAAAGGCCAAUCAAACCGGGAGAUAGCUGGUUCUCCCCGAAAGCUAUUUAGGUAGCGCCUCGUGAAUUCAUCUCCGGGGGUAGAGCACUGUUUCGGCAAGGGGGUCAUCCCGACUUACCAACCCGAUGCAAACUGCGAAUACCGGAGAAUGUUAUCACGGGAGACACACGGCGGGUGCUAACGUCCGUCGUGAAGAGGGAAACAACCCAGACCGCCAGCUAAGGUCCCAAAGUCAUGGUUAAGUGGGAAACGAUGUGGGAAGGCCCAGACAGCCAGGAUGUUGGCUUAGAAGCAGCCAUCAUUUAAAGAAAGCGUAAUAGCUCACUGGUCGAGUCGGCCUGCGCGGAAGAUGUAACGGGGCUAAACCAUG